AUACUUACCUGGCAGGGGAGAUACCAUGAUCAGGCAGGUGAUUUUCCCAGGGCGAGGCUCACCCAUUGCACUGUGGGGUAUGCUGACCCCUGCGAUUUCCCCAAAUGCGAGAAACUCGACUACGAAAUUUGUGGUAGUAGGGGAGUGUGUGUGCGCUCUCCCCUG